rnacentral:rRNA from 1 species
UACGGAGGAUCCGAGCGUUAUCCGGAAUCAUUGGGUUUAAAGGGUCCGUAGGUGGGCGUUUAAGUCAGGGGUGAAAUCCCGCAGCUCAACUGUGGAAUUGCCCUUGAUACUGGCCGCCUUGAGUCGCUGUGAAGUGGUUGGAAUAUGUAGUGUAGCGGUGAAAUGCAUAGAUAUUACAUAGAACACCCAUUGCGAAGGCAGAUCACUAACAGCGCACUGACACUGAUGGACGAAAGCGUGGGGAGCGAACAGG